rnacentral:lncRNA from 1 species
UUGGAGGUAUGCCCUAGAGGCAAUCAUAGAGAUGAUGAUAUUCCAUUUGUAUCCAUGAUUUGUAUAAUGUGUUCAUUGAAUAUCCAUUAAAGGCUACUUGAAUUGAUUUGCAAUUAUGUGAAUUGUAUGUGAAACUCUUUACUUGUAUGGUUAUUCUAAAAUUGUCCCUAGUCGGAGUUCAUGUGAGGACACACAUGAAUAUUAGACUAGCACAUGUAUUAGUUGAUGACUAUGUUUCACAAGUCAUGGACAUGGAGAUGUUGAACUAAUAAUGUGGACACAUGUGGAGACAUGUGCUAGGACUGACCCAACACGAGAAGUAGUUCUCUCUUUAAACAACAUACACGCUUU